UUAUUCGGAGAGUUUGAUUCUGGCUCAGAACGAACGCUGGCAGCGUGGAUGAGGCAUGCAAGUCGAACGGUCUUCAGCUAGUAGCAAUAUUGGUUGAUGAUAGUGGCGGAAGGGCGAGUAAUGCGAGAGCAAGCUACCCCUCGGAUCGGGAUAACGUCUGGAAACGGACGCUAAUACCGGAUGUGAAGCGGAACCGAAUGGUUCCGUCUUGAAAGGCGGGGACCCGCAAGGGCCUGCCACCGAAGGAGGCGCUCCCGUGCCAUCAGCUAGUUGGUGAGGUAACGGCUCACCAAGGCUUACGGCUAGGUGGACUGAGAGGUUGGUCACCCGCACUGGGACUGAGACACUGCCCAGACUCCUACGGGAGGCUGCAGUCGAGGAU
rnacentral:rRNA from 1 species